rnacentral:rRNA from 1 species
CUACACAUGCAGUCGAGCGGAUGAAGAAGAGCUUGCUUCUCUGAUUUAGCGGCGGACGGGUGAAGUAAUGCCUAGGAAUCUGCCUGAUAGUGGGGGACAACGUUUCGAAAGGAACGCUAAUACCGCAUACGUCCUACGGGAGAAAGCAGGGGACCUUCGGGCCUUGCGCUAUCAGAUGAGCCUAGGUCGGAUUAGCUAGUUGGUGAGGUAACGGCUCACCAAGGCGACGAUCCGUAACUGGUCUGAGAGGAUGAUCAGUCACACUGGAACUGAGACACGGUCCAGACUCCUACGGGAGGCAGCAGUGGGGAAUAUUGGACAAUGGGCGAAAGCCUGAUCCAGCCAUGCCGCGUGUGUGAAGAAGGUCUUCGGAUUGUAAAGCACUUUAAGUUGGGAGGAAGGGCAUUAACCUAAUACGUUAGUGUUUUGACGUUACCGACAGAAUAAGCACCGGCUAACUUCGUGCCAGCAGCCGCGGUAAUACGAAGGGUGCAAGCGUUAAUCGGAAUUACUGGGCGUAAAGCGCGCGUAGGUGGUUUGUUAAGUUGAAAUGUGAAAGCCCCGGGCUCAACCUGGGAACUGCAUCCAAAACUGGCAAGCUAGAGUAUGGCAGAGGGGUGGGUGGGAAUUUCCUGGUGUAGCCGGUGAAAUGCGUAGAUAAUAAGGAAGGAACACCAGUUGGCGAAGGCGACCACCUGGGCUAAUACUGACACUGAGGUGCGAAAGCGUGGGGAGCAAACAGGAUUAGAUACCCCUGGUAGUCCACGCCGUAAACGAUGUCGACUAGCCGUUGGGAUCCUUGAGAUCUUAGUGGCGCAGCUAACGCAUUAAGUCGACGCCCUGGGGGAGUACGGCCGCAAAGGUUAAAACUCAAAUGAAUUUGACGGGGCCCGCACAAGCGGGUGGAGCCAA